CGUGCGUGGGCCGUGAGCGACGAACCCACGGCCGAACGGCAAACACCGUCAGUGCUCUUUCACGUAUCUUCGCGUCGUCCGUUUUGGAUGCCCUCGGCGGUCUUAACCGAGGGCGGAGGAUGUUCUCAUCGGGAGCAACCACACAAGACCAAGAGAGUAUACAGUGACUAGUAAGUAGAGAAGUGAAAGUGAGUGGCAUAAAAAAGUAAGUAAAGUUAGGUUAGUGAUGAGUCGGGCACGGAGCCACGGAGGUCUGACCGGUCUGAGACUCCGAGACAGUGAGUUCGCGACAGAUCCAGUGUCCAGCAUGGAAUAAAAUAAUAAUUUAUAAUAAUAUGAAUUAAUGCUUGGACUCCAUUUUUCAGGGACACCAAACAUAAAAAAAUGUACAUCGAAAAUCUUAGGUUUGACAACCAGACGACCCUUCUCAUAAUCAUAUUUUGAUACUAUAUCACUUCAUAUGAGAUAACUGUAAACUGAUAAGAGAUAUGAUUGUGCACUGAAAUACUGAAUCAUUGACAAUAAUCGACUCUACAUGCUCUAGCUCAGCUCUUGUAACUAGUAUUGGAAUAUCCACAUUUAGCAUUUACCUAUUAUAAAGCCAUUUCUGUUGUUUCCAUUUAAUUGUAUUUAAUCUUCAGAUUAAUGCCUGACUGUUUUUGUUGUAACAGAUCGAGAAAUGGAAAAUCCUAAAGUGCUAAUACCUCUCUUCCUAUGCAAGUUCCUAAAAAUGUUCAUCCAGAAUUAGUAAAGCCUCUCCUGCCAAGUAUUUCAAGUACUAAUGAGUCUAGUACAAGACGUGACAACUCUGUUUUGUUCGAAAGAACUGAAGUCAAGUUAUUUUCUAUUAAUGGUCUCAAUGUUUAAUACAUUAAAUACCGAAGAUAAAAUGGAUAUUUCAUUGAAAAAUGAAAAUGUUUAUGCUCAGAAUUCUGCUAGUCGUGUAAAAAGUGCAUACAACGAAGAUGAGAUCGCAUCAUUGUUAUCAGUUAAUUCACCUUCUACUCCACAAUCCAUGAAUAUAGAAAACACUUUAGAUACAUUAAGUAUUAAAAAUCCUCGUAUGAAACAUAAAACAUUACCUACAGCUGCCAGCAGAAUUAAUUCUUCAGAUGAUCCACAUUAUCACUUUCUAAAAUAUGUAAUUCAAACACUAACGGAUAAGCUUGCUAUUAGAGAUCUGAAACUCAAAACAGCACAACAAACAGUUAAAAGGCAGAAAAAGAAAAUUGCGACAAUAAAAACAAUUAUCAGAAAACUACAAAAACAGAACCUCAUACAUUAAGACUUUGGUUUCAUAUUGUUGGAAUCUUUUGUGAGAAUGAAGGGUGUAGCAUAACCCUUAACAAUCCAUCCUGGACACGCCACUAAAUUGACUGAUAAAUACAAAACGUCCAAAUAAAGGCAUUAUCCCUGGAGACUAAAAUUAUAAACACACAAAUUUCAGAGAGUUAAUAUCCUGUCACUCCUGAAUUAGUUAGCAUUCAUACAGCUAAAAGAUGUAAUUUGAAUUUGAUUGUUGAUCCAUUUUAUGAAGCUGCUAGUUGCACUAUUCAGUUUGCUAAGACUUGUGAGUUUGUAAAACCUAUUGAUAUUGAUUGGAAAAGAAAUGAUAUAGCCUGUCACAAUGCAAUCAUAUAGUGAUGCUGAUUGAAUUAAAUUUUUGAUAACAUGGCAAUAUGCUCAAAUUAAGGAAUAACUGUUUAAUGGUAUGCCAUAGUGAACUCUAUGGACUCGACGAUGAAGAAAUUGGCAUGUUGCACGUAUUAUGAUGGUUUGAGAUUAGAAUAACUGCUUAAAAUAUUAUGAUGUUUAAUAUUUAAGAAUUUGCUGUAUAUUUAGGCUGUAUUCAUAGUCUAUGCUUAAAAAUAGGUACAGUCGAUUCCGGUUUAGGAAAAGUCGAUUCCAGUCACAGUUAAUAAGAACAACCGCUUAAUAGAGACAAUUCUUCAAUUACGAAAACAAAUUUAUUCUUGUAGGGUAAACAUUCACCGCUCAUCUAGACCACGAAUCCGGAUAAUUAGGACAUUUUUAUUGAGUAUAUUAAUAGAUCAAUAGUUCGAAAAUCGCGACCGACUCCCUUUAUUGAUUAUUAGAUUACAUUUUAUCUUAUUGAAUGUUUAAAUGUGAUGUAUGUUGAAUGUUAUUUGGUGCAUCAGUUGUGUUUGUCGCUUGUAAUAACAAUGUCUCGUGUGCGUAAAGAUUUAUAUAUUUUUAUAAAUAAUUUUCUCUCUCUUUUGGCUUUACAAUUCCUUAAGAAUUUUGGCCGCUACCGUCACCGUUCUCCAAUAAUUAUGAUAUUCUGAACUCGAUCUUCCCAAUCCGUCACUUCAAGUGUUUCUAAGUCCUUUUACCAUCCAUCUAUUGCUUUCUAGGCCUUCCUCUUGGCCUUAUCCCUGUUGGUUGCCAUCGAUUACUGCUCUUAUACAAAUAGUUUCUGUUGUCCGCAUAUUAUGACUAAACCAUUUGAGUCUUUGACACUUAAUGUGGCUUGUUAACAAUGAAACUUCAGUGAUUUCUCUUAGUUCAGUAUUUUUUCUUCUACGCCAUCUGUUAAGCUCGCUAUCAAACACUGGACUACAAAUCUUCCUCAGUAUUUUAUUUUGAAAAACUAACAGCAUUUUUUCUACUUGAAUAGUAGUGGGCCAUAUUUCACAUCCAUAAGUUACCAUUGGUCUUAUUAUGGUCAUGUACAGUUUGAGCUUGGUUCUUCUGAAAAAUAAUUAGGAUUUAAAAGAUUUAUAUAACGCGAAAUAAGCCCUCUCUGCCUUUCGUAUACGACUUAUGAUUUAGAGACUCCAAUCAUUGCUGUUAGUAACCGUCGUUCCAAGAUACUUGAGCUCUUUAACUUUCUUAAAGGUAUAGUCAUUGAUAACCACGUUCUUUUUCCCCAUUGGGAAGUAGUUCCAUCACUUUUAUUUUAUCUUGAUUUAUUUUUAACUCGACUGAUUUCGUACCUUCUACGAGUGUGUCUGUAUUCUGCUCAACUAUUUCCAUGCUAUCUCCAAUUAGGUUUAAAUGUUAAAUGUUAUUUGGUGCAUUAGUUGUGUUUGUCGCGUGUAGUAACAAUGGCUCGUGUGCGUAAAGAUUUAUCGCACGCGCAAAAUUAAAAUUAGAAAUUCUCGACAAAAUAAAAACAUGUGUAUGAACUUUAUAUGUAUGUAUUUUUAUAAAUAAUUAGGUUAUAAUAUUAUAUUUUUCUUUUUGUAUUAUUAAAUAUUUUCUAUAAUAGUAUGUAAAUGUAAUAAUAAAAAUAUAUAAAAAAAAUAAGUUUUUUUGGGACAAAAUAACACGCAACUAAUGUGUCCCCAUAAAACGGAAUAGACUGCAUUGCUUAUCCUAAUUUUAAUAAUUAAAAAAAAAAAAAUUGUGUUAAUAACUAAAAGCAAUUCUUAAGGAAGGUCUCAACCAACCUUACUUUAAGUAAUACUUUUUAUUUUCUCAAGCCAAAGUCUCGUUUGUGAAACUUAUUUGCGUCAUAAGUAUAGGUCAAGCAAUACUUAUUUUUAAGUAUCGACUAUGAAAGCCUUAGUAUUUGCUACCGUUUUAGUAAGAAAAUAAUUAAUUAUAUCAUAUGAGGAAAUUUGUCACAGUUGUUUUAAAAAAUAUCUUAAAAGAUUUCUGUGACUUUCUUUAUACACCUAUAUUUAAGUAUACAGUAUUCAUUAGUUAAUAAUUUAAUGUAUUAAUCUAUUAUGAAGUAACCUUAAUUUUAUCAAACAAAAUAUGUACUCUAAACAGUGGCAUUCUGCUUUAUGGAGGCAUUCCGGUUGACCUGGAAAAUAGAAUUUUACAGAUGUCCUGCUAAGCCUUACAUUUUAUAUAAUAAUAUUAUUCAGAAAUGAGAAAAUGCGUUAAAAAUCUGGCAUAGUUUUAGAAAUACUGUGAUAGAACGCAAAAUAUUACAUAAAUGUAAAUAGUGAAUGAAUGAAAUAGUUAUUAAUUGAUAGUAAUAUUGUAUUAUGUAAAACAAAUAUCAACUUGUGAAUUUGUAAUUAUUGUCUAACAAAUAUUCUAUUCAAUAAGUUUAUCAUUAGUUUUUAUUGUUUUUUACCAAUUUAAUAUAUUAUGUAUGUUUGACUUUUUCCAAAUUUGACUUAUAAUUUCCAUAUUAUAUGAAUAUUGUAAGAGAGUACAAGAAAUCUAAUCCCAAAUCUCUGUCUUACACACAUGUAUAGGAAAACUGCUUUCCAUAUUAUAUUCAUUGUAACUAGUAACUACUCGGUUAAUAGUAUAAAAUGACAUGGCGGCAAGACCUAUAAUAUUAGUAACAAUAUAAUCUGUUUUAACCUUUGGCAGGAGCUUUUUUAAUACAUUUAUUAAAAUAUACUGUAUAAUAUACUUUAAAAUGUAUAAUAAUUAAAAUUUUCUUAAAAAUAAAACAUUAAAUAAAAAUUCUGACAAAACAGAUUAUAAUGUUGUCACUCAAUAUUUUUCCUAAUAGGUAAAUAUUUAUGGCUGUAAAUCACAAUGAAUGAAAUACGGGGAGCACCCAUGGGCCAUAGCCCAUAACUCAUAAUUGAUACCUGAUUUCGACAUUGUGCCUUCUAAACCCUCUGUAUAAAGACAAAAAGUUAAAAUUUUAAUUUCCAAAAGUUCAUAUUGUAGUUACAUUAUUUACAAUUGUGUUUCAUUAAUUAUAAAUUUAUUUUCAAAUAUUAUUCCUAAACUCAUUGGCGUAACUAGGGAGGUGCAGAACCGAAAAGGGACAUGCGCACCCCCAAGUACUCCCAAAAAAAUAAAAGACUAUUAUUUUUUGAUUAUUAGGAAGUAAAAAUUAUCAAUAAUUACAAAAAUGUUGUACUAAACAUAAUAUACUGUAUGUAUUGAGGAAUAUAAUAUUAUGUAGGUAGGUACUUUGCUAUAACAUAUUAUUAUGAAAUAAUAUUUAUCUUAUGUAUUGUUCUAUAUAACAGCCAGAACAGGUAACAAAAGUCAUAAUAAAAUUAUAUUAUAAAUUGACGAAAUAACUUUAAACUUGGAGUAAUGACACUUUUCUUUAUCUAUGUCAGGACAGCCUAUGAAUGUAAGUGUGCUUACAAUGUUUUCUUGUUUAUAAUUUGUUAUAACUUAUAAAACAAGUUAACAU